rnacentral:rRNA from 1 species
CCUACGGGAGGCAGCAGUGAGGAAUAUUGGUCAAUGGGCGGAAGCCUGAACCAGCCAAGUCGCGUGAGGGAUUAAGGCCCUGCGGGUCGUAAACCUCUUUUGCCGGGGAGCAGAGGUCCGGACGUGUCCGGGCCGGGAGAGUACCCGGAGAAAAAGCAUCGGCUAACUCCGUGCCAGCAGCCGCGGUAAUACGGAGGAUGCGAGCGUUAUCCGGAUUUAUUGGGUUUAAAGGGUGCGUAGGCGGGCAUUUAAGCCGGCGGUAAAGUGUCGGGGCUCCACCCCGGCCUACCGUCGGAACUGGGUGCCUUGAGUGGGCGAGAAGUAUGCGGAAUGCGUGGUGUAGCGGUGAAAUGCAUAGAGAGCACGCAGAACCCCGAUUGCGAAGGCAGCAUACCGGCGCCCUACUGACGCUGAGGCACGAAAGUGCGGGUAUCGAACAGGAUUAGAUACCCGAGUAGUC